GAUGAACGCUGGCGGCGUGCUUAACACAUGCAAGUCGAACGAUGAAGCCCAGCUUGCUGGGUGGAUUAGUGGCGAACGGGUGAGUAACACGUGAGUAACCUGCCCUUAACUCUGGGAUAAGCCUGGGAAACUGGGUCUAAUACCGGAUAGGAGCGUCCACCGCAUGGUGGGUGUUGGAAAGAUUUAUCGGUUUUGGAUGGACUCGCGGCCUAUCAGCUUGUUGGUGAGUUAAUGGCUCACCAAGGCGACGACGGGUAGCCGGCCUGAGAGGGUGACCGGCCACACUGGGACUGAGACACGGCCCAGACUCCUACGGGAGGCAGCAGUGGGGAAUAUUGCACAAUGGGCGAAAGCCUGAUGCAGCGACGCCGCGUGAGGGAUGACGGCCUUCGGGUUGUAAACCUCUUUCAGUAGGGAAGAAGCGAAAGUGACGGUACCUGCAGAAGAAGCACCGGCUAACUACGUG
rnacentral:rRNA from 1 species